rnacentral:rRNA from 1 species
GCUCGUAGUUGAACUUCUGUGGCGUGGCUGCGUGCGGCAACGUGCGCGGCCUGGCCACAUCCUCCUGAGGAGCUCGCUCUCAUUCACUUGUGGGCGAGUGUUCAGGUACUUUACCUUGAGAAAAUUAGAGUGUUCCAGGCAGGCGCAGCCUGAAUAGUGCAGCAUGGAAUAAUGCAAGAGGACUUAGCUCCAGUUGUUGGUGUAUGGCGCUGAGUAAUGAUUAACAGGGAUAGUUGGGGGCAUUCGUAUUUAAUUGUCAGAGGUGAAAUUCUUGGAUUUAUUAAAGACGAACCUGUGCGAAAGCAUUUGCCAAGGAUGUUUU